rnacentral:rRNA from 1 species
GAUCUUUAUUUUUAUUUUUUAUAAAUUAAAAAGAUUAAAUAAAUUUAUAAUAAAAUUAAAAAUUUUAUUGGGGUGAUAUUAAAAUUUAAAAAACUUUUAAUUUUGAUUACAUUAAUUUAUGAAUAAUUGAUCCAAUUUUAUUGAUUAAAAAUUUAAGUUACCUUAGGGAUAACAGCGUAAUUUUUUUUUAGAGUUCAUAUCGACAAAAAAGAUUGC